rnacentral:rRNA from 1 species
UCAAGUUAUUAAGGGUGUAGGGCGGAUGCCUUGGCACUAGGAGCCGAUGAAAGACGUGAUAAGCUGCGAUAAGCUUCGGGGAGUGGCACAUACACUUUGAUCCGGAGAUUUCUGAAUGAGGAAACUCACUUGGAGUAAUGUCCAAGUAUCCAUAGGUGAAUACAUAGCCUAUGGAGGGGAACUCAGGGAACUGAAACAUCUAAGUACCUGAAGGAAGAGAAAGAAAUUCGAUUCCGCUAGUAGCGGCGAGCGAACGCGGAAGAGCCCAAACCAAGUCAGUUUACUGAUUUGGGGUUGCGGACAUAUCUUAAGGAAAGGUUAUUGCGAGUAGAAUAGGUCUGGAAAGACCAACCAUAGAGGGUAAUAGUCCCGUACACAAAGCCAAGAAAGUUCUUGAUAUGAUCCAGAGUACCACGAGACACGUGAAACCUUGUGGGAAGCAGGGGGGACCACCCCCCAAGGCUAAAUACUACCUAGUGACCGAUAGCGAAUAGUACCGUGAGGGAAAGGUGAAAAGAACCCCGGGAGGGGAGUGAAAUAGAACCUGAAACCCUACACUUACAAGCUGUGGGAGCGCAUUAUUCGCGUGACCGCGUACUUUUUGUAGAACGGGCCAACGAGUUACGUUAUGUGGCAAGGUUAAGCACUUAAGGUGUGGAGCCGAAGCGAAAGCGAGUCUUAACUGGGCGCCAUAGUCACAUGACGUAGACCCGAAACCGGGCGACCUACCCAUGAGCAGGAUGAAGCGAAAGUAAAAUUUCGUGGAGGUCCGAACCCACGUACGUUGAAAAGUGCGGGGAUGACUUGUGGGUAGCGGUGAAAUUCCAAUCGAGCUCGGAGAUAGCUGGUUCUCCCCGAAAUAGCUUUAGGGCUAGCCUUGAAAUUUAGAGAUGUGGAGGUAGAGCACUGAAUGUCCUAGGGGGUAUUGCACUUACCGAAGACUAUCAAACUCCGAAUGCCAUUAUCUUUUGUUCAGGAGUCAGACUAUGGGUGAUAAGGUUCAUAGUCGAAAGGGAAAGAGCCCAGACCGUCAGCUAAGGUCCCUAAAUGUAUGUUAAGUGGUAAAGGAUGUGGGAUUGCACAGACAACCAGGAUGUUGGCUUAGAAGCAGCCACUCAUUUAAAGAGUGCGUAAUAGCUCACUGGUCGAGUGAUCCUGCGCCGAAGAUUUCCGGGGCUAAAACAUACUACCGAAGCUACGGCAUCAUAUGAUGAUGGGUAGGGGAGCUUCCCAUGCAGGCUGAAGCGAUACCGUAAGGAGUCGUGGACAGUAUGGGAGAGAGAAUGUUGGCAUGAGUAGCGAGAUGAGGGUGAGAAUCCCUCAGGCCGUAAACCCAAGGUUUCCAGGGGAAGGUUCGUCCUCCCUGGGUUAGUCGGGACCUAAGCUCAGGCCGAAAGGCGUAGGCGAUGGACAACAGGUUGAGAUUCCUGUACUACCGAUAAUCGUUUGAGAGAAGGGAUGACACAGUAGGAUAAGCUGAGCACACUGUUGGUUAUGUGUGUCUAAGCGUUGAGGCAGACUAGAUAGGCAAAUCCGUUUAGUUAAUGCUGGGGCGCGAUGGGGAGCGAAACUAAGUAGCGAAGCAGCUGAUUUCACACUGUCGAGAAAAGUCUCUAUCGAGAUUAAAGGUACCCGUACCGCAAACCGACACAGGUGGGUGAGGAGAGUAUCCUAAGGCCAGCGAGAGAACUGUUGUUAAGGAACUCGGCAAAAUGACCCCGUAACUUAGGGAUAAGGGGUGCCCCAGCAAUGGGGCCGCAGAGAAUUGGCCCAAGCGACUGUUUACCAAAAACAUAGGUUUCUGCUAAGUCGCAAGACGAUGUAUAGGAGCUGACGCCUGCCCGGUGCUGGAAGGUUAAGGGGAUCUGUUAGAGCAAUCGAAGCAGUGAUCUUAAGCCCCAGUAAACGGCGGCCGUAACUAUAACGGUCCUAAGGUAGCGAAAUUCCUUGUCGGGUAAGUUCCGACCCGCACGAAAGGCGUAAUGAUUUG